CCUACGGGAGGCUGCAGUGGGGAAUAUUGGACAAUGGGGGCAACCCUGAUCCAGCCAUGCCGCGUGUGUGAAGAAUGCCCUCGGGUUGUAAAGCACUUUCAGUGAGGAAGAACGCCUGGUGGUUAAUACCCAUCAGGAAAGACAUCACUCACAGAAGAAGCACCGGCUAACUCCGUGCCAGCAGCCGCGGUAAUACAGAGGGUGCGAGCGUUAAUCGGAAUUACUGGGCGUAAAGCGCGCGUAGGUGGCUUGAUAAGCCGGUUGUGAAAGCCCCGGGCUCAACCUGGGAACGGCAUCCGGAACUGUCAAGCUAGAGUGCAGGAGAGGAAGGUAGAAUUCCCGGUGUAGCGGUGAAAUGCGUAGAGAUCGGGAGGAAUACCAGUGGCGAAGGCGGCCUUCUGGACUGACACUGACACUGAGGUGCGAAAGCGUGGGUAGCAAACAGGACUAGAUACCCGGGUAGUC
rnacentral:rRNA from 1 species